rnacentral:rRNA from 1 species
UUGGAGGGCAAGUCUGGUGCCAGCAGCCGCGGUAAUUCCAGCUCCAAUAGCGUAUAUUAAAGUUGUUGCAGUUAAAAAGCUCGUAGUUGAAUUUCGGGAUCAGAUUGUCGGUCGUGCCUCGGUACGCACUGGUAUUAUUGGUUCCUACCUUCUGAAGAACCGCGAUGUCAUUAAUUUGGUGUCGUGGGGAAUCAGGAUUGUUACUUUGAAAAAAUUAGAGUGUUUAAAGCAGGCUUACGCUUGAAUACAUUAGCAUGGAAUAAUGAAAUAGGACGUUUGAUUCUAUUUUGUUGGUUUCUAGGAUUGACGUAAUGAUUAAUAGGGAUAGUUGGGGGCAUUAGUAUUCAAUUGUCAGAGGUGAAAUUCUUGGAUUUAUUGAAGACUAACUACUGCGAAAGCAUUUGCCAAGGAUGUUUUCAUUAAUCAUGAACGAAAGUUAGGGGAUCGAAGACGAUCAGAUACCGUCGUAGUCUUAACCAUAAACUAUGCCGACUAGGGAUCGGAUGAUGUUAAUUUUUUAAUGACUCAUUCGGCGCCUUACGGGAAACCAAAGUGUUUGGGUUC